UAAUACAGAGAGUGCGAACGUUGUUCGGAAUUACUGGGCUUAAAGAGUACGUAGGCGGCAUGACAAGUGUUAGGUGAAAUCCCACGGCUUACCCGUGGAACUGCCUAGCAAACUGUCAAGCUCGAGUGUGGUAGGGGAGAACAGAACUCAUGGUGGAGCGGUGAAAUGCGUAGAUAUCAUGAGGAAUACCGGUGGCGAAGGCGGUCCUCUGGUCCACAACUGACGCUGAGGUACGAAAGCUAGGGUAGCGAACGGGAUUAGAUACCCCGGUAGUCCUAGCCGUAAACGAUGGGCACUAGCUUGGGGCCUCCCUGUGUGGUUCCAGGUGAAGCAAAAGUAAUAAGUGCCCCGCCUGGGGAGUAUGGUCGCAAGGCUA
rnacentral:rRNA from 1 species